rnacentral:rRNA from 1 species
CUCCUACGGGAGGCUGCAGUGGGGAAUAUUGGGCAAUGGGCGCAAGCCUGACCCAGCAACGCCGCGUGAGGGAAGAAGGUCUUCGGAUUGUAAACCUCUGUCCUUGGGGACGAAAAAAAUGACGGUACCCGAGGAGGAAGCUCCGGCUAACUACGUGCCAGCAGCCGCGGUAAUACGUAGGGAGCGAGCGUUGUCCGGAAUUACUGGGCGUAAAGGGUGCGUAGGCGGCAUGGCAAGUCAGAUGUGAAAUCCCCGGGCUUAACUCGGGUGGUGCAUUUGAAACUGCUGUGCUUGAGUGCAGGAGAGGAAAGCGGAAUUCCUAGUGUAGCGGUGAAAUGCGUAGAUAUUAGGAGGAACACCAGUGGCGAAGGCGGCUUUCUGGACUGUAACUGACGCUGAGGCACGAAAGCGUGGGGAGCAAACAGGAUUAGAUACCCCUGUAGUC